CCUACGGGUGGCAGCAGUGGGGAAUCUUGCGCAAUGGGCGAAAGCCUGACGCAGCGACGCCGCGUGAGGGAUGAAGGUCUUCGGAUCGUAAACCCCUGUCAGCAGGGAAGAACGGUCGCUGUGCUAAUCAGCAGUGAAUUGACGGUACCUGCAAAGGAAGCACCGGCUAACUCCGUGCCAGCAGCCGCGGUAAUACGGAGGGUGCAAGCGUUAAUCGGAAUUACUGGGCGUAAAGCGCACGUAGGCGGUAUGUUAAGUCAAGGGUGAAAUCCCCGCGCUUAACGUGGGAACUGCCUUUGAAACUGGCAGACUGGAGUGUGUGAGAGGAUAGUGGAAUUCCAGGUGUAGGAGUGAAAUCCGUAGAUAUCUGGAGGAACAUCAGUGGCGAAGGCGACUAUCUGGCACAUAACUGACGCUGAGGAGCGAAAGCGUGGGUAGCAAACAGGAUUAGAUACCCUUGUAGUC
rnacentral:rRNA from 1 species